rnacentral:rRNA from 1 species
GACGAACGCUGGCGGCGUGCCUAAUACAUGCAAGUAGAACGCUGAAGGAGGAGCUUGCUUCUCUGGAUGAGUUGCGAACGGGUGAGUAACGCGUAGGUAACCUGCCUGGUAGCGGGGGAUAACUAUUGGAAACGAUAGCUAAUACCGCAUAAUAGUAGAUGUUGCAUGACAUUUGCUUAAAAGGUGCAAUUGCAUCACUACCAGAUGGACCUGCGUUGUAUUAGCUAGUUGGUGGGGUAACGGCUCACCAAGGCGACGAUACAUAGCCGACCUGAGAGGGUGAUCGGCCACACUGGGACUGAGACACGGCCCAGACUCCUACGGGAGGCAGCAGUAGGGAAUCUUCGGCAAUGGACGGAAGUCUGACCGAGCAACGCCGCGUGAGUGAAGAAGGUUUUCGGACCGUAAAGCUCUGUUGUAAGAGAAGAACGAGUGUGAGAGUGGAAAGUUCACACUGUGACGGUAUCUUACCAGAAAGGGACGGCUAACUACGUG